rnacentral:rRNA from 1 species
AGAGUUUGAUCAUGGCUCAGGAUGAACGCUAGCGGCAGGCUUAAUACAUGCAAGUCGAGGGGCAGCAGGACUGUAGCAAUACAGUUGCUGGCGACCGGCAAACGGGUGCGGAACACGUACGCAACUUACCCAAAACUGGGGAAUAGCCCGGGGAAACCCGGAUUAAUACCUCGUAAGAUAAUGAAGUGGCAUCACUUUAUUAUUAUAGCUCCGGCGGUUUUGGAUGGGCGUGCGCCUGAUUAGGUAGUUGGCGGGGUAACGGCCCACCAAGCCUGCGAUCAGUAACUGGUGUGAGAGCACGACCAGUCACACGGGCACUGAGACACGGGCCCGACUCCUACGGGAGGCAGCAGUAAGGAAUAUUGGUCAAUGGACGCAAGUCUGAACCAGCCAUGGCCGCGUGGAGGAUGAAGGCCCUCUGGGUUGUAAACUUCUUUUAUAUGGGACGAAACCCUCUUUUUCCAAAGAGACUGACGGUACCAUAGGAAUAAGCACCGGCUAACUCCGUGCCAGCAGCCGCGGUAAUACGGAGGGUGCAAGCGUUAUCCGGAUUCACUGGGUUUAAAGGGUGCGUAGGAGGGCAGGUAAGUCAGUGGUGAAAUCCCCAAGCUUAACUUGGGAACUGCCGUUGAUACUAUCUGUCUUGAAUACCGUGGAGGUGAGCGGAAUAUGUCAUGUAGCGGUGAAAUGCUUAGAUAUGACAUAGAACACCAAUUGCGAAGGCAGCUCGCUACACGAAUAUUGACUCUGAGGCACGAAAGC